rnacentral:rRNA from 1 species
UGAGUAACACGUAUCCAACCUGCCGUCUACUCUUGGACAGCCUUCUGAAAGGAAGAUUAAUACAAGAUGGCAUCAUGAGUUCACAUGUUCACAUGAUUAAAGGUAUUCCGGUAGACGAUGGGGAUGCGUUCCAUUAGAUAGUAGGCGGGGUAACGGCCCACCAAGACUACGAUGGAUAGGGGUUCUGAGAGGAAGGUCCCCCACAUUGGAACUGAGACACGGUCCAA